ACUACGGGAGGCAGCAGUGGGGAAUAUUGCGCAAUGGGCGAAAGCCUGACGCAGCGACGCCGCGUGAGGGAUGAAGGUCUUCGGAUCGUAAACCUCUGUCAGCAGGGAAGAACGGUCACUGUGCUAAUCAGCAGUGAAUUGACGGUACCUGCACAGGAAGCACCGGCUAACUCCGUGCCAGCAGCCGCGGUAAUACGGAGGGUGCGAGCGUUAAUCGGAAUUACUGGGCGUAAAGCGCUCGUAGGCGGUAUGUCAAGUCAAGGGUGAAAUCCCCGCGCUCAACGUGGGAACUGCCUUUGAAUCUGGCAAACUGGAGUGUGUGAGAGGAUAGUGGAAGUCCAGGUUUAGGAGUGAAAUCCGUAGAUAUCUGGAGGAACAUCAGUGGCGAAGGCGACUAUCUGGCACAUAACUGACGCUGAGGAGCGAAAGCGUGGGUAGCAAACAGGAUUAGAUACCCUGGUAGUC
rnacentral:rRNA from 1 species